rnacentral:rRNA from 1 species
AGCAGCCGCGGUAAUUCCAGCUCCAAUAGCGUAUAUUAAAGUUGUUGCAGUUAAAAAGCUCGUAGUUGAAUUUCGGGGUUAGUAGGUUGGUCAUGCCUCUGGUAUGUACUGGUCUCACUGAUUCCUCCUUCCUGAUGAGCCGUAAUGCCAUUAAUUUGGUGUUGCGGGGAAUUUGGACUGUUACUUUGAAAAAAUUAGAGUGUUUAAAGCAAGCUAACGCUUGAAUACAUUAGCAUGGAAUAAUGAAAUAGGACGUUCGAUCCUAUUUUGUUGGUUUCUAGGAUUGACGUAAUGAUUAAUAGGGAUAGUUGGGGGCAUUAGUAUUCAAUUGUCAGAGGUGAAAUUCUUGGAUUUAUUGAAGACUAACUACUGCGAAAGCAUUUGCCAAGGAUGUUUUCAUUAAUCAAGAACGAAAGUUAGGGGAUCGAAGACGAUCAGAUACCGUCGUAGUCUUAACCAUAAACUAUGCCGACUAGGGAUCGGAUGAUGUUAAUUUUUAAUGACUCAUUCGGCUACCG